rnacentral:rRNA from 1 species
CCUACGGGCGGCUGCAGUGGGGAAUAUUGCGCAAUGGGCGAAAGCCUGAUGCAGCGACGCCGCGUGAGGGAUGAAGGUCUUCGGAUCGUAAACCUCUGUCAGCAGGGAAGAACGGUAACUGUGCUAAUCAGCAGUGAAUUGACGGGACCUGCAAAGGAAGCACCGGCUAACUCCGUGCCAGCAGCCGCGGUAAUACGGAGGGUGCGAGCGUUAAUCGGAAUUACUGGGCGCAAAGCGCUCGUAGGCGGUAUGGCAAGUCAAGGGUGAAAUCCCCGCGCUCAACGUGGGAACUGCCUUUGAAACUGGCAAACUGGAGUGUGUGAGAGGAUAGUGGAAGUCCAGGUGUAGGAGUGAAAUCCGUAGAUAUCUGGAGGAACAUCAGUGGCGAAGGCGACUAUCUGGCACAUAACUGACGCUGAGGAGCGAAAGCGUGGGUAGCAAACAGGAUUAGAUACCCUUGUAGUC